rnacentral:rRNA from 1 species
AGUGAACGCUGGCGGCAGGCCUAACACAUGCAAGUCGAACGGCAGCACAAGAGAGCUUGCUCUCUGGGUGGCGAGUGGCGGACGGGUGAGGCAUGCAUCGGAAUCUGCCCAUUUGUGGGGGAUAACCUCGGGAAACCGGGACUAAUACCGCAUACGACCUACGGGUGAAAGCAGGGGAUCUUCGGACCUUGCGCAGAUGGAUGAGCCGAUGCCGGAUUAGCUAGUUGGAGGGGUAAAGGCCCACCAAGGCGACGAUCCGUAGCUGGUCUGAGAGGAUGAUCAGCCACACUGGGACUGAGACACGGCCCAGACUCCUACGGGAGGCAGCAGUGGGGAAUAUUGGACAAUGGGCGCAAGCCUGAUCCAGCCAUGCCGCGUGUGUGAAGAAGGCCUUCGGGUUGUAAAGCACUUUUGUUGGGAAAGAAAAGCAGCCGGUUAAUACCCGGUUGUCAUGACGGUACCCAAAGAAUAAGCACCGGCUAACUUCGUG